GUCCCUGGGGUAGCUCAGUUGGUAGAGCAGGAGACUCUUAAUCUCAGGGUCGUGGGUUUGAGCCUCACGUUGGUCA